UACAGAGGGUGCGAGCGUUGUCCGGAAUCACUGGGCGUAAAGGGCGCGUAGGCGGUCCGGUAAGCGUGCGGUGAAAGCCCGGGGCUCAACCCCGGGUCGGCCGUGCGAACUGCGGGACUGGAGCUUGUCAGAGGCAGGCGGAAUUCCGGGUGUAGCGGUGGAAUGCGUAGAGAUCCGGAAGAACACCGGUGGCGAAGGCAGCCCCCUGGGCUGACACUGACGCUCAGGCACGAAAGCGUGGGGAGCAAACGGG
rnacentral:rRNA from 1 species